rnacentral:rRNA from 1 species
GUGUCAGCCGCCGCGGUAAAACAUAGGGGGCAAGCGUUGUCCGGAAUCACUGGGCGUAAAGGGCGCGCAGGCGGUCUGUUAAGUCAGAUGUGAAAGGUUAGGGCUCAACCCUGAACGUGCAUCUGAUACUGGCAGACUUGAGUAUGGAAGAGGUAAGUGGAAUUCCUAGUGUAGCGGUGAAAUGCGUAGAUAUUAGGAGGAACACCAGUGGCGAAGGCGACUUACUGGGCCAUAACUGACGCUGAGGCGCGAAAGCGUGGGGAGCAAACAGGAUUAGAAACC